rnacentral:tRNA from 5 species
GGGGCCGUAGUCUAGCCUGGCUAGGAUGCUCGGCUCGGGCCCGAGUGAUCCCGGGUUCAAAUCCCGGCGGCCCCACCA